ACAUUCUCUCUUUUUCUUCUCAACUUUGGUGAUUUCAUCAUGGAGGUUGUUUGUUUCUUUAAUUAAUCCAUUAAAUGUAACUAAAUUUGUUAAUUAAUUUCACUUAAUGAAUUGACAGCCUGUCUGCUAAUCUUCAACAUUUUUUACACUAAACAGUAUACCUUUGUAGUGAACUAUAUGUAGAGUUUGCUACGAUAAAAAUGCUGUUUAAUAAGACAAGGUGGUGAAGAGAAUGUUGCAAUAGGUAGGACUCAUUUUUGAAAUUACCACCAGCCUAUAUCAACAAAUGUGUAGCAUUACAAUUUAAUAAUAUAUUUUGUAUAUUGUGUAAAGAAAAUGUAAAAAGUCGAUGUUUUUGAUCAAAUUAAAACUCUGAAGGCCGUCCACUGACAUUGGUGCCAUUAUAUGAUUGGUUUACAUGACAUCAUCCAGUUUGACCGUUACGCUUUCUCCAAAGGGAGAGCCGGUUGGUAUCUCCUAUCUAGAUGUAUCAGGGGAAUUCGGCUAUUAAAAACAUUCUAAUUGAAUUCUGUUCAAAUGAACGAAAUUAUUAAAAUAAACAUUCCUUCAUUUUGCUUAACGAGAUUCAAAGAUCCAAGUCAGUCUGGAGCCCUGAUUUAGUAUUUUAUAUAUGUAAUUAAUUUAGAUAACUUUGUAGACAUCUGUUUUCACUUUGAUAUUAAGGGAUUUUUCUGUUAAUUAUUGUCAUAAAAACCUCAUUUAAUCUACUUUGAUUCUGUGCUGUAAGACAUGAAGACUUCUUAGGAAGAUGAAUACUUUAUAAUUUAUAGGCACUGUACCAUUUGUAACAGACAAUAUUGUCUUUCAGGUCACCUAUUUUGGACUGGCAGGGGGUCUGAUUUUAAAAGAAACUGUCUGGAGAAUAAUGCCAAAACUAAUGACGAACCAACUGGCGAAGCAAAUUAACUGGCGCGGAGUGAAUGGGAAGUAUGGCUUUGAAGUUCAAACCACUUGCCAUUAAAGAUGUUGUCAUCAAAUCUGUGCGAAGAAACGCAAGUACUGCCAGUGCAUCAGACAGAACCAGCCAUUGAAAAGUUCAUAAAAAGAUGGCUGCAGCUUGCAUCUGACAGAGAUGGGUGAAGAAGAGAGCGGGCCCUAAAGCAAGCAAAUUCUUUCUAAGGGUACACUUACUUGAGGAGGGUCCUGAAGUUUUCUAGUUUUUUUUGUUUUGCAUUUGUUCAUGCCACUUUUUGCUAGUUCAUAUAAAGCUAUAUGUUAAUGUUAGGGUUCAAAUAAAUUCUCAUAUUUCUCAU